rnacentral:rRNA from 1 species
GAUGAACGCUAGCUACAGGCUUAACACAUGCAAGUCGAGGGGCAGCACAGUGUAGCAAUACACGGGUGGCGACCGGCGCACGGGUGCGUAACGCGUAUCCAACCUUCCCGUUACUCCGGGAUAGCCUUCCGAAAGGGAGAUUAAUACCGGAUGGUGUUCAAGUGGUGCAUAUUAUUUGAACUAAAGAUUUAUCGGUAGCGGAUGGGGAUGCGUACCAUUAGAUAGUAGGCGGGGUAACGGCCCACCUAGUCUACGAUGGUUAGGGUUCUGAGAGGAAGGUCCCCCACACUGGAACUGAGACACGGUCCAGACUCCUACGGGAGGCAGCAGUGAGGAAUAUUGGUCAAUGGCCGGAGGCUGAACCAGCCAAGUAGCGUGAAGGAUGAAGGUUCUAUGGAUUGUAAACUUCUUUAUAUAGGAAUAAAACCUCCCACGUGUGGGAGCUUGUAUGUACUAUAUGAAUAAGCAUCGGCUAACUCCGUG